rnacentral:rRNA from 1 species
CCUACGGGAGGCAGCAGUGAGGAAUAUUGGUCAAUGGGCGGGAGCCUGAACCAGCCAAGUCGCGUGAGGGAAGACGGUCCUACGGAUUGUAAACCUCUUUUGCCGGGGAGCAACGGGGUCCUUGCGAGGGCCCAAUGAGAGUACCCGGAGAAAAAGCAUCGGCUAACUCCGUGCCAGCAGCCGCGGUAAUACGGAGGAUGCGAGCGUUAUCCGGAUUUAUUGGGUUUAAAGGGAGCGUAGGUGGAUUGUUAAGUCAGUUGUGAAAGUUUGCGGCUCAACCGUAAAAUUGCAGUUGAAACUGGCAGUCUUGAGUACAGUAGAGGUGGGCGGAAUUCGUGGUGUAGCGGUGAAAUGCUUAGAUAUCACGAAGAACUCCGAUUGCGAAGGCAGUUCACUGGACUGCAACUGACACUGAGGCUCGAAAGUGUGGGUAUCAAACAGGAUUAGAUACCCGAGUAGUC